rnacentral:rRNA from 1 species
ACGCUGGCGGCAGGCUUAACACAUGCAAGUCGAACGGUAACAGGAAUUAGCUUGCUAAUUUGCUGACGAGUGGCGGACGGGUGAGUAAUGCUUGGGAAUCUGGCUUAUGGAGGGGGAUAACUACGGGAAACUGUAGCUAAUACCGCGUAAAAUCUUCGGAUUAAAGGGUGGGACUUUCGAGCCACCUGCCAUAAGAUGAGCCCAAGUGGGAUUAGGUAGUUGGUUAGGUAAAGGCUGACCAAGCCGACGAUCUCUAGCUGGUCUGAGAGGAUGACCAGCCACACUGGAACUGAGACACGGUCCAGACUCCUACGAGAGGCAGCAGUGGGGAAUAUUGCACAAUGGGGGGAACCCUGAUGCAGCCAUGCCGCGUGAAUGAAGAAGGCCUUCGGGUUGUAAAGUUCUUUCGGUGACGAGGAAGGUUGAUAGGUUAAUAGCCUAUCAAAUUGACGUUAAUCACAGAAGAAGCACCGGCUAACUCCGUGCCAGCAGCCGCGGUAAUACGGGGGGUGCGAGCGCUAAUCGGAAUAACUGGGCGUAAAGGGCACGCAGGCGGUGACUUAAGUGAGAUGUGAAAGCCCCGAGCUUAACUUGGGAAUUGCAUUUCAUACUGGGUCGCUAGAGUACUUUAGGGAGGGGUAGAAUUCCACGUGUAGCGGUGAAAUGCGUAGAGAUGUGGAGGAAUACCGAAGGCGAAGGCAGCCCCUUGGGAAUGUACUGACGCUCAUGUGCGAAAGCGUGGGGAGCAAACAGGAUUAGAUACCCUGGUAGUCCACGCUGUAAACGAUGUCGAUUUGGGGAUUGGGCUUUGAGCUUGGUGCCCGUAGCUAACGUGAUAAAUCGACCGCCUGGGGAGUACGGCCGCAAGGUUAAAACUCAAAUGAAUUGACGGGGGCCCGCACAAGCGGUG